AUAGUUAUUCAUAACAGAUGGUGCUGUCUUGACAAACCUGAUAACAUCUUUCUUAGAAGAGGAAUUUAACACAAUGUUAAUACAAUGAAUAGAUAUUUUUAGUGAUUCACUGUUAAGAUUUAUUUAUUUUUUAAUGUGUAACACAAGAUUCUUUGGUUACACUUCUAAACACUCUUCCCUUUCAUCUCCUACUGUCCUUUUCCAUUGUUAGUAGAGCAAGAAGACAAAGGCUUACAUAUAUCCAUCCAGCAUAUUUCCAUCACCCUUCGCAGCCCUGCAACUCUGUUCACAGAUGUUAAACACCACAGCUCUUAUCACAAGUGUUAAAACAUAUGGUAUAUUGGGAGAAAGAAUGAACAAUUUGAAAGAAAUCCCAGCUGUUGCAUAGGAAGAUUAUUUAGCUCACUCCAGACUCCUUAUUCUACUGCAAAGAUAAAAGUGACCCAAACAACCACUGGAAUGGCCACUGGAGACUGGUAAUUUGGGAGGAUCUUAUAUCAUUACAAGCAUCCAAGAGAGCCUCUGAUUUCAUGACAGUGAAUUUCAAACAACACGUGAACCAUGAAAUGGUUCCACAUCUUCUUGUCAGGCCCAGCAAAAAAGGCCUGGUCACUUGAUUUAACUUCAGGCCUUGAGAUCUGGAGGUCAUUGGUGAAGAACAGGUCAUAGAUAAGAUAAGGUGACAUUCAGUGACGUUGCUUCAUUUAGAAUAGAAAAUGUAAAGCUAGUACUAAAAAAAAAUAAAAAUAGGAGCUGGGUAAGGAAUGCUAACUCA
rnacentral:lncRNA from 1 species